GUUGAACGCUGGCGGCAUGCCUAACACAUGCAAGUCGGACGGGAAGUCGUGUUUUUAGUGCCGGAGGCGAGAGUAACGCGUAAGAAUCUGCCAUCGGGACGGGUCCAACAGCUGGAAACGGCCGCUCAUACCCCGUAGGCAGACCAGCAACAGGGGGGAUCCGCCCGCGGGGGGGCUUGCGUCUGAUUAACUAGUGGGUGAGGCAUUAGCUUACCAGGGCGAUGAUCAGUAGCUGGUCGGAGAGGAUGAUCGGCCAGACUGGGACGGGGAGACGGCCUAGGGUCCUACGGAAGACGGGAGAGAGGAUGUUCCCGCAAUGCGGGGAGGGCGGACGGAGCAAUGGGGCGGGGAAGUAGAAGGGCCAGGGGUGGAAAACUGCGUUUCACGACGAAGAGGGAAUGACGGUAUCGGAAGAAUAAGCACCGGCUAACUCUGUG
rnacentral:rRNA from 1 species